rnacentral:rRNA from 7 species
GUGGACGCCAGUCUGCGUGGAGCCAACCUUGAAAUACCACCCUUUAAUGUUUGAUGUUCUAACGUGGACCCGUAAUCCGGGUUGCGGACAGUGUCUGGUGGGUAGUUUGACUGGGGCGGUCUCCUCCUAAAGAGUAACGGAGGAGCACGAAGGUUGGCUAAUCCUGGUCGGACAUCAGGAGGUUAGUGCAAUGGCAUAAGCCAGCUUGACUGCGAGCGUGACGGCGCGAGCAGGUGCGAAAGCAGGUCAUAGUGAUCCGGUGGUUCUGAAUGGAAGGGCCAUCGCUCAACGGAUAAAAGGUACUCCGGGGAUAACAGGCUGAUACCGCCCAAGAGUUCAUAUCGACGGCGGUGUUUGGCACCUCGAUGUCGGCUCAUCACAUCCUGGGGCUGAAGUAGGUCCCAAGGGUAUGGCUGUUCGCCAUUUAAAGUGGUACGCGAGCUGGGUUUAGAACGUCGUGAGACAGUUCGGUCCCUAUCUGCCGUGGGCGCUGGAGAACUGAGGGGGGCUGCUCCUAGUACGAGAGGACCGGAGUGGACGCAUCACUGGUGUUCGGGUUGUCAUGCCAAUGGCACUGCCCGGUAGCUAAAUGCGGAAGAGAUAAGUGCUGAAAGCAUCUAAGCACGAAACUUGCCCCGA